rnacentral:lncRNA from 1 species
GACCAAGUGGCUGUAUGAUGACAGCUGAGGCUGUCAAACAGGAAAAGACCCUGCUUCCUUCACUUCACUCAUCUGCAGGUCCUCACAUUCUGCUCCCAACUGUGGAAUUCUGCUUCUUCCCUUAUGCAAACACAAUUAUCUUCAGGAUGAUUUGUUCAGCAAAGUAUCUGCUGAGGACCUUUUCCUCACACUUCCCAAUGUUUCUGAAGGUCAUAUGAAAGUGGAAGGCAUCACUGAAAAG